AACGAACGCUGGCGGCAGGCUUGACACAUGCAAGUCGAACGCCCCGCAAGGGGAGUGGCAGACGGGUGAGUAACACGUGGGAACAUGACCAAAGGUACGGAAUAUUCUCGGGAAACUGGGAGCAAUACCGUAUGUGCCCGCAAGGGGAAAGAUUUAUCGCCUUUGGAUUGGCCAGCGUUGGAUUAGCUAGUUGGUGGGGUAAAAGCCUCCCAAGGCGACGAUACAUAGCUGGUCUGAGAGGACGACCAGCCACACGGGGACGGAGACACGGCCCAGACUUCUACGGGAGGCAGGAGUGGGGAAUCCUGGACAAUGGGGGCAAGCCUGAUGCAGCCAUGCUGCGUGAGUGAUGAAGGCCGUAGCGUUGUAAAACUCUUUCGUGGGGGAAGAUAAUGACGGUACCCUAAGAAGAAGCUCCGGCUAACUUCGUGCCAGCCGCCGCGGUAACAC
rnacentral:rRNA from 1 species